GGAAUGUAACUCGGUGGUAGACUGCUUGCCUAGCAUGCAUGAGAUCCUGGGUUCAAUUCCCAGCAAUGCCA
rnacentral:tRNA from 1 species